GUUAUACAUUUUGCCCAUGUAAAUAUACCAUGAAGUAGACCUAUUGGAAGAGCCAACAACCUUUCCCUCCGUUUCAUUUUACGUUUUAGUAUUUCUGGCCACAAAUUCCAUCGCGGUUGGGAAUUAGCUUCCGGAAGUCUCGAAUGGAACAGUACAGACAAACAUACACACACGGAAAGAUGGAUAAACAGAGUUAAUCUAUAAAUACCAUGAACAUAGACGCCAGCAACAGUUCCUGGAACCAGAGCGAGACGGAACCCGUCGCGCGCUGACACAUAUUCGCAGGAGCUGUUAUCGACCGGGAUACGUAAUGGCGGAGAUAUUACUCAACAGCUCUUCGACAUCGACAGCCGAAUUCUUCGCCACCGGCCGUUUGGAAAACUAGGGCGCCAUCAUGGCCGAGAGCGCUCCAUCUGUGGAUGCUGUUCCUGUUUCUGGGAGCGAUCAACAUGCAUCGUCAGCCAACCCAGUGAGUCCCUUGAAUACAGCAGCGGCCAGCCAGCAUGCGCAGUCGCCCGUCUCGACAACCAACCGCCUUACUCCUACAACAAAGAAGAUAGGAGAAAAGUUUUUAACAUGUCCGAUUUGUUUCGAGAUGUACAGUCACCCCAAGUGCCUGCCAUGUCUCCAUACCUUCUGCCGUCACUGUCUAGACUCCUACAUACAAUCCCAGGAUGCAUUUCGUGCCAGAAGGAAGCACGGAUUUCCCUGCCCAUUGUGCAACCAGUUCUACUUUAUUAAAAGCUUUGAAAUGCCCUUAAGCCAGUGGGUGGAAGGUAUUCAAAACAACUUCAUGGUACAGAAUAUGAUAGAAUAUCUUCUUCCACAGGCCGUUGAUCAAGCUGAAAAUGUGUGUCCUCUGUCUGUAAACCCAUCUCCUGUCAGAAGCUCUAUGUCGAAUCAAGACAAUGUGCCCGAAGAUAGUGGUUCCCUGGAGGUCCUUCCUGCUGGACCAAACCCAGAUAAUGGCCAACACCAGGAUGAGGAUGCAGAGGACAGCAGCACAGCUGCUCCAUCUGUAUUGAACCCGUCCAUGGAGCCAGUUGCAUUACAAAGCCAGCACCCGUCACGAUACGCCCCUCGGCGUUCACUGAUAGAAACAGGUAAAAGCAACGACCAUAUUCGACACAGUUUCCCAUAUGGAGGCAUGGCGCUUUCCUAUCCAACACAUGAUUUUUAUUCUGAAGUUAAAUUGCAAGUCAACAUGAACCCCCUGUGCACUACGAAGAGUCACAGUUCUAAUGACUUAAACCGACAUGAAAUGCCCGCCUACUAUGUUGAUUCGGACACGAUGGAAAGGGUUGGCCUUUACAGAACCUCCAUAGACAGGCAGUUUUCGGACGUGUGUUGUCUAUCUAAAGCAAACACUAUCGUUAUCACAGACUAUAACAACAGCCAUGUUCUUCUCUGGGAGGGGUUCUUCCAAGGUUGCAAAACCUAUACAAAGGUCAAGGUGGAUGGGAAACCGACAUCAGUGGCACCGCUGGACGAAUCUCUAGAGGACUGUGUCGUGGUCAACCUUCUUAACAAGGGCAAGAUUAUCUUCAUUUCCAUCCCGGAAUUGUAUUUUUUGCGCAUUAUUGACACUGAGGUCAACGUCCGAAGUGUGGCGAUGCUGACCACCAACACGCUGCUCACCGGAAGUUCCAUCAGACCAGCCAGGAUCGACAUGGUCCAAGUUGACAAUCGUUUUCAGGUGACCAGAAGGCACUGCUUACUCGAGAACAGCCAGCAGUGCUGGGCCAUCUGUACCCCGAAUCACAUGUGUGGUGUGACAACCGAUACCUUUGUGGUCGCCGAUACGCUGCAGAAGAGUCUGGUUGGGUAUGACAUCAAGACUAAGAAUGGCAGGAAGGUGGGGGAGAAGAGCUUUUCCUUCACGCCUUUGGGUGACCGGAAGUUCGUCAGUCUUGGUGGAUUGUGUUGUCACAGGUCUUCCGGGAGCAUCUACGUGGUCGACCACGACGACAAUGCGGUGUAUCGAGUUCAUGUGGGGACCACCGUCAGAUGUGAAAAAGUGCUUUGUGAGAAGAAUGGCAUCAGGAAACCGACAUCUGUUUGUUUGAGUCUGCGCGACGAGCUGUGUGUGGUUGACUGGCAAGGUCGUAUCUCCGUUUACAAACCGAAAUGUGUGCCCAAAGCAUAGUCUGUGUGGGAGCAGGGACUGAUCUGCAAUGAGUUGAAGAGGAUUGUCUAGUUGUGAAGAUAGGGAACUGUUUGGGUGUGAAGAGGGUGGUAUGUGUUGAUGUUAAGAAGAUUCGCUGUGGGGAUGUGAAGAGGAUUCGCUGUGGGAAUGUGAAGAGGAUUCACUGUGUUGAUGUGAAGAUGUGUUGACUGUGGGUGUGUGAAGAGUAUUGACUGGGGAUGUGAGCAGUAUUCACUGUGUUGGAUGUGAAGAGGAUUCACUGUGUUGAUGUGAAGAGGAUUGACUGUGGGAAUAUGAAGAGGGUUCCCUGUGGGGAUGUGAAGAGGAUUGACUGUGUUGGAUGUGAAGAGGGUUCCCUGUGGGGAUGUGAAGAGGGUUCCCUGUGUUGAUGUGAAGAGGGUUCCCUGUGGGGAUGUGAAGAGGAUUGACUGUGUUGAUGUGAAGAGGGUUCCCUGUGGGGAUGUGAAGAGGAUUGACUGUGUUGAUGUGAAGAGGGUUCCCUGUGGGGAUGUGAAGAGGGUUCCCUGUGGGGAUGUGAAGAGGAUUGACUGUGUUGAUGUGAAGAGGGUUCCCUGUGGGGAUGUGAAGAGGGUUCCCUGUGGGGAUGUGAAGAGGGUUCCCUGUGGGGAUGUGAAGAGGAUUGACUGUGUUGAUGUGAAGAGGGUUCCCUGUGGGGAUGUGAAGAGGGUUCCCUGUGGGGAUGUGAAGAGGGUUCCCUGUGGGGAUGUGAAGAGGAUUGACUGUGUUGAUGUGAAGAGGGUUCCCUGUGUUGAUGUGAAGAGGGUUCCCUGUGGGGAUGUGAAGAGGAUUCCCUGUGGGGAUGUGAAGAGGGUGACCCGUGUGGAGGUGAAGAUGAGGGACUUUGUGUGCGUGAAUAGACCUUGAUUGUGAAGUGUGCACACACAUGCUGGAACGUGUGUACAAGCACCGACGGGUCAGAGUGCAGAUGGAUGACAAAAGCAGACAAAUUUAUGGAUACCAACUACUUUAAGACUGUAAAGGCGACGUUUCGGUUUAGAUCCUUAACUUCUAAGUAAUGCCUAUCAAAUAAUUCAGUGUGCAGAUGGCUGUUUGAAGGGAGUGAAGAGGAUACUUUGGUGUAGUCACAGGAUGAACGGAUUGUGGGUCACAGGAAUGAUGUACAUAGAUCACAGCAUGAAGUGCACGUGGGUCUACAGGAUGUGUGUAUGUUAGUCACAUGACGUGAUGUUUGGAGUUGGCUUACCUAGUCACAUGUCAGUGUCUGUGUUUAGCUCACCUGACCUAAAAGUUCAAGUGAGCUCGUAUUGCAGUACUUUGUCCGCCAUCUGUCCGUCCGUCAUAAACUUUUCACGGCUGCAUCUGUGAAUUGAGUAAAGAACACACCAUGUGUUUCAUAUAACUUGAGUUAAUUUGG
rnacentral:misc_RNA from 1 species